rnacentral:rRNA from 1 species
UACGUAGGGUGCAAGCGUUGUCCGGAAUUAUUGGGCGUAAAGAGCUCGUAGGCGGUUUGUCGCGUCGGCUGUGAAAACCUGGGGCUCAACCCCGGGCCUGCAGCCGAUACGGGCAAACUAGAAUUCGGUAGGGGAGACUGGAAUUCCUGGUGUAGCGGUGAAAUGCGCAGAUAUCAGGAGGAACACCGGUGGCGAAGGCGGGUCUCUGGGCCGAAAUUGACGCUGAGGAGCGAAAGCGUGGGGAGCAAACAGG